rnacentral:rRNA from 1 species
AGUAACGCGUGGGUAACCUGCCUCGUACAGGGGGAUAACAGUUAGAAAUGACUGCUAAUACCGCAUGAGCGCACAGUGCUGCAUGGCACAGUGUGAAAAACUCCGGUGGUAUGAGAUGGACCCGCGUCUGAUUAGCUAGUUGGUGGGGUAACGGCCUACCAAGGCGACGAUCAGUAGCCGACCUGAGAGGGUGACCGGCCACAUUGGACUGAGACACGGCCAA